UUUUUUUUAUUUUUCAAUUUUCUCAAAAACUAGAAGGCAUAGGAACAAUUGGUUUUCAGCGUUUGAUUAGAAAUCAAUUUAGGCCGUUUAUUUUAUUAGAAAAUUUUGUAUUGAAAUCCACAGUCCUUACAAAAAUUGUAUUAAAUGGAAUUUUUUUUUGACUUUUGACUUUGAAAUCGAUUUUUUAUUAUUUUGAAAUAGCUUUGAUUUAAAAAUUUAAAUGAAGUGUGAAAUUCUGGCUUUUGAAAAAGGUAUUAUUCAUAACUAUGAACUGAGCAAUAUAAAAGCACAGUUUUUAUAGUAAAAAUAGUGCCAGUUGUACAAACUUGGAUCAGCCUUGGUUCAGGAAUUUAACUCGCCGAUUUCGGCGGAUUAGCUGCGGGUCAAACUCGGAUCAAGCAUGCAUGUGGCUAUUUUUACAUAUAUGGACCUUGAACAAGUGCUAAACCUCAGCUUUACUACCGAUUUUAGAAGAUAAAAGUUACUGAUCCACGGAUUAAAUAUUUGUACAACUGGCCCUUAAUGAGGAACACGGCGGGUAUUCAUGAAAAUGUGGUAAACGUGGUAAAAUGUGGUAAAUGAGCUGUCAAAAUCUGUAUGGAAAAACUUUACCAAAAUUUGGUACUUUCCAGUUUCCAGUGAAGUUUAAUUUUGAUUAUAAAAUAAACUAAAAUAACUCCAAGAGUUUCUAGCUCCAAAUAGACUUCAAAUAAA